AGUGAACGCUGGCGGUAGGCCUAACACAUGCAAGUCGAACGGCAGCACAGUAAGAGCUUGCUCUUACGGGUGGCGAGUGGCGGACGGGUGAGGAAUACAUCGGAAUCUACUUUUUCGUGGGUGAUAACGUAGGGAAACUUACGCUAAUACCGCAUACGACCUACGGGUGAAAGCAUGGGAUCUUCGGACCUUUCGCGAUUGAAUGAGCCGAUGUCGGAUUAGCUAGUUGGCGGGGUAAAGGCCCACCAAGGCGACGAUCCGUAGCUGGUCUGAGAGGAUGAUCAGAGACACUGGAACGGAGACACGGACCAGAAUACUACGGGAGGCAGCAGUGGGGAAUAUUGGACAAUGGGCGAAAGCAUGAUACAGCAAUACCGCGUGGGUGAAGAAGGCCUUCGGGUUGUAAAGACCUUUUGUUGGGAAAGAAAAGCAGCAGGUUAAUACCCCGCUGUUAUGACGGUACCCAAAGAAUAAGCACCGGCUAACUUCGUG
rnacentral:rRNA from 1 species